ACUUCACUUUGGGCCCUCACUUUACAUAGGUAUUGAGAUAUUUAUGACAUCACAGAUCUGGGUCAGCAGGGUUGCACAAGAGACAUCAGGCUGGGUACUGGAGCAGAGUGAGGGGUGCACACUUUGUGGAUAUGUUUGUAAAUCUGGCUUCUGGAUUGUUUGGAAGGUGGUGCUGUGUAUGACCAAGGAAGGAAAGCAUUUCAGUGAUCAGAGAUAUUCAAGUGAGAGAACUUGGCUAAAGAAAGCAAGAAUUUUAAACGCUGUACUUUGGACUGCCUGGUCAAUAAUAGUACCAAGUUCAAAUAUUUCCCAUCUGGCCUUCAAUCCCAGCUUGCACGCUUAGAUGAUUUUAGACUUUUUGGCUCUCAGCUAUGUGGUUCAAACAAGCCCACUCAUUUCAACAUUUUUUCUCAGUCCUCACUAGCACUGUUCCUACCCUUGGGAUCUUGUUCAUUUAGGUUAAAUCGUGUGCUGCAAGAAUAAUGGAUGGGAAGAUGGAGGGCAUAUGUAUUACAAGGUGUAGCACAAGCUUAUUUUUUCCUAUCUCUUAGAUUGCUCUGAAGGUUAUCUAAAGCCUGUAUCUAAAGCCUGAAUGUUGCCUUACUUCCUAACAAUAUGGAUGUCAAAUAUGUUGGACAAUCAGUAGCAGAAAUAUGAGCAUAAGUUCAGUUGCCAUUGCAGCUCCAAGGCACUUAGCACUUCCAUUGCUUGAUUGAUAUAGUCAGUGACACGGCAAUGCCAAUAUGUUUAAUACUCUGAACCAAUGGCAUGAAAAACUUUUUUCUCAACCUUUCCUUCAAGUUUUCCCUUCUUCAGCAGCUGUU